UACGUAGGGUGCGAGCGUUAAUCGGAAUUACUGGGCGUAAAGCGUGCGCAGGCGGUUCGCUAAGACCGAUGUGAAAUCCCCGGGCUUAACCUGGGAACUGCAUUGGUGACUGGCGGGCUAGAGUAUGGCAGAGGGGGGUAGAAUUCCACGUGUAGCAGUGAAAUGCGUAGAGAUGUGGAGGAAUACCGAUGGCGAAGGCAGCCCCCUGGGCCAAAACUGACGCUCAUGCACGAAAGCGUGGGGAGCAAACAGG
rnacentral:rRNA from 1 species